rnacentral:rRNA from 1 species
GAUGAACGCUGGCGGCGUGCCUAAUACAUGCAAGUCGAGCGAACAGACGAGGAGCUUGCUCCUCUGACGUUAGCGGCGGACGGGUGAGUAACACGUGGAUAACCUACCUAUAAGACUGGGAUCACUUCGGGAAACCGGAGCUAAUACCGGAUAAUAUAUUGAACCGCAUGGUUCAAUAGUGAAAGACGGUUUUGCUGUCACUUAUAGAUGGAUCCGCGCCGCAUUAGCUAGUUGGUAAGGUAACGGCUUACCAAGGCAACGAUGCGUAGCCGACCUGAGAGGGUGAUCGGCGACACUGGAACUGAGACACGGUCCAGACUCCUACGGGAGGCAGCAGUAGGGAAUCUUCCGCAAUGGGCGAAAGCCUGACGGAGGAACGCCGCGUGAGUGAUGAAGGUCUUCGGCUCGUAAAACUCUGUUAUUAGGGAAGAACAAAUGUGUAAGUAACGAUGCACGUCUUGACGGUACCUAAUCAGAAAGCCACGGCUAACUACGUG